rnacentral:rRNA from 1 species
CCCUAAAAAGUUCUAAGAGCACAAAGAUUUGGUCCUAGUCUUAUUAUCAAUUAUCUCUCAGCUUACACAUGCAAGUCUCAGCACUCCCGUGAGGACGCCCUUUCCCCCUUUGUUAGGCUAAGGAGCUGGUAUCAGGCACCAUUUAUGCCCACAACACCUAGUCCCACCACACCCCCAAGGGUAAUCAGCAGUGAUAAACUUUGUCUAUAAGCGACAGCUUGACUCAGCUAAAGAGAAGAGAGCUGGCCAACACGGUGCCAGCCGCCGCGGCUAAACCCAUGGGCUCAAAUUGAUGAUAGUCGGCGUCAAUCGUGAUUAAAGUACCACCACAAUUAGAGUGAAACCUACCGUCUUGUCGUAAAAAACUACACCCUAGGGAAAACCAGAAACGAAAGUUACUCUAAUCCUCACUUGAACACACGACAACUAGAAAACAAACUGGGAUUAGAUACCCCACUAUGCCUAGUCGUAAAUUAUCUACUCACACCCACAAACGCCAGGGAACUACGAGCCUCAGCUUAAAACCCAAAGGACUUGACGGUGUCCCACCCAACUAGAGGAGCCUGUACUAUAAUCGAUGGUCCCCGAUAUACCCAACCUUUUCUUGCUCAUCAGCCUGUAUACCUCCGUCGUAAAUCUACCAUAUGAAUGACAAACAGUUUGGUUCAAUGAUCCUUUCCCAUCAGAACGUCAGGUCAAGGUGCAGCCCAUGAAAAGGCAAGCUAUGGGCUACAAUUUCUAAUUUAGAACAAACGAAAUACUGCAUGAAACACA